rnacentral:rRNA from 1 species
UACGGGGGGGGCAAGCGUUGUUCGGAAUUACUGGGCGUAAAGGGCUCGUAGGCGGCCAACUAAGUCGGAUGUGAAAUCCCCAGGCUUAACCUGGGAACUGCAUCCGAUACUGGAUGGCUUGAAUCCGGGAGAGGGAUGCAGAAUUCCUGGUGUAGCGGUGAAAUGCGCAGAUAUCUGGAGGAACACCGGUGGCGAAGGCGGCAUCCUGGACCGACACUGACGCUGAGGAGCGAAAGCCAGGGGAGCAAACGGG